GACGAACGCUGGCGGCGUGCUUAACACAUGCAAGUCGAACGGAAAGGCCCUGCUUUUGUGGGGUGCUCGAGUGGGGAACGGGGGAGUAACACGUGAGUAACCUGCCCUUAACUUUGGGAUAACUUCAGGAAACUGGGGCUAUUACCGGAUAGGAGCUCCUGCUGCAUGGGGGGGGUUGGAAAGUUUCGGCGGUUGGGGAUGGACUCGCGGCUUAUCAGCUUGUUGGUGGGGUAGUGGCUUACCAAGGCUUUGACGGGUAGCCGGCCUGAGAGGGUGACCGGCCACAUUGGGACUGAGAUACGGCCCAGACUCCUACGGGAGGCAGCAGUGGGGAAUAUUGCACAAUGGGCGGAAGCCUGAUGCAGCAACGCCGCGUGCGGGAUGACGGCCUUCGGGUUGUAAACCGCUUUCGCCUGUGACGAAGCGUGAGUGACGGUAAUGGGUAAAGAAGCACCGGCUAACUACGUG
rnacentral:rRNA from 1 species